UACGUAGGGCGCAAGCGUUGUCCGGAAUUAUUGGGCGUAAAGAGCUCGUAGGCGGUUUGUCGCGUCUGUCGUGAAAGCUUGGGGCUUAACCCCAAGUCUACGGUGGAUACGGGCAGACUAGAGGCAGGUAGGGGAGAACGGAAUUCCCGGUGUAGCGGUGAAAUGCGCAGAUAUCAGGAGGAACACCGAUGGCGAAGGCAGUCUUCUGGGCCAAUACUGACGCUGAGGAGCGAAAGCGUGGGGAGCGAACAGG
rnacentral:rRNA from 1 species